rnacentral:rRNA from 1 species
GCCCUUCGGGGUACACGAGCGGCGAACGGGUGAGUAACACGUGAGCAACCUGCCCCUGACUCCGGGAUAAGCGGUGGAAACGCCGUCUAAUACCGGAUACGACCCCCCACCUCAUGGUGGAGGGUGGAAAGUUUUUCGGUCAGGGAUGGGCUCGCGGCCUAUCAGCUUGUUGGUGGGGUAACGGCCUACCAAGGCGAUUACGGGUAGCCGGCCUGAGAGGGCGACCGGCCACACUGGGACUGAGACACGGCCCAGACUCCUGCGGGAGGCAGCAGUGGGGAAUAUUGCGCAAUGGGCGAAAGCCUGACGCAGCGACGCCGCGUGGGGGAUGACGGCCUUCGGGUUGUAAACCUCUUUUACCACCAACGCAGGCUCCGGGUUCUCCCGGGGUUGACGGUAGGUGGGGAAUAAGGACCGGCUAACUACGUGCCAGCAGCCGCGGUAAUACGUAGGGUCCGAGCGUUGUCCGGAAUUAUUGGGCGUAAAGAGCUCGUAGGCGGCGUGUCGCGUCUGCUGUGAAAGACCGGGGCUUAACUCCGGUUCUGCAGUGGAUACGGGCAUGCUAGAGGUAGGUAGGGGAGACUGGAAUUCCUGGUGUAGCGGUGAAAUGCGCAGAUAUCAGGAGGAACACCGGUGGCGAAGGCGGGUCUCUGGGCCUUACCUGACGCUGAGGAGCGAAAGCAUGGGGAGCGAACAGGAUUAGAUACCCUGGUAGUCCAUGCCGUAAACGUUGGGCGCUAGGUGUGGGGACUUUCCACGGUUUCCGCGCCGUAGCUAACGCAUUAAGCGCCCCGCCUGGGGAGUACGGCCGCAAGGCUAAAACUCAAAGGAAUU